rnacentral:rRNA from 1 species
AUGCAGUGGAAGACAGAGAAUGCUGUGCCUGACAAAGGAUUUGAGAAGCUACUAAAAAUAUUGAAGAAGAAGCUUCCAAAGGAUAACGAAUUGCCCGAUAGUACGUACGCAAUAAAGAAGGUCGUAUGCCCUCUAGGAUUGGAGGUGCAUAAGAUACAUGCAUGCCCUAAUGACUGCAUCCUCUACCGCGGUGCGUACAAGGAUUUGAACGCAUGUUCGGUAUGCGGUGCAUUGCGGUAUAAGAUCAGACGAGAUGACCCUGGUGAUGUUGACGGCGAGCCCCGCAGGAAGAGAGUUCCUGCGAAGGUGAUGUGGUAUGCUCCUAUAAUACCACGAUUGAAACGACUGUUCAGAAACAAAGAGCAUGCCAAGUUGAUGCGAUGGCACAGUGAGGACCGUAAGAAAGACGAGAAGUUGAGAGCACCCGCUGACGGGUUGCAGUGGAGAAAAAAUGAGAUAGAGUACUGGGCUGAGUUUGCACGUGACCCAAGGAACGUAUGGUUUGGUUUAAGCGCGGAUGACAUUAAUACUUUCGGGGAGCAGAGCAGCAAUCACAGCACUUAG